GACGAACGCUGGCGGCGUGCUUAACACAUGCAAGUCGAACGCUGAAGCUCAGCUUUUGUUGGGUGGAUGAGUGGCGAACGGGUGAGUAACACGUGAGUAACCUGCCUCCUUCUUUGGGAUAACGCCCGGAAACGGGUGCUAAUACUGGAUAUUCACUGGUCUUCGCAUGGGGGUUGGUGGAAAGGGUUUUUCUGGUGGGGGAUGGGCUCGCGGCCUAUCAGCUUGUUGGUGGGGUGAUGGCCUACCAAGGCUUUGACGGGUAGCCGGCCUGAGAGGGUGACCGGUAACAUUGGGACUGAGAUACGGCCCAGACUCCUACGGGAGGCAGCAGUGGGGAAGAUUGCACAAUGGGCGCAAGCCUGAUGCAGCGACGCCGAGUGAGGGAUGGAGGCCUUCGGGUUGUGAACCUCUUUCGCUAAUGGUCAAGCCGCAACAAUGGUUGUGGUGAGGGUAGUGGGUAAAGAAGCGCCGGCUAACUACGUG
rnacentral:rRNA from 1 species